rnacentral:rRNA from 1 species
AUGCAAGUCGUACGAGAGCUUUUAGCUCCAGUGGCGGACGGGUGAGUAACGCGUGAGAAUCUGCCCUUAGGAGGAGGAUAACAGCUGGAAACGGUUGCUAAUACUCCAUAUGCCGAGAGGUGAAAGGAUUUAUCCACCUAAGGAGGAGCUCGCGUCUGAUUAGCUAGUUGGUAGGGUAAUAGCCUACCAAGGCGACGAUCAGUAGCUGGUUUGAGAGGAUGAUCAGCCACACUGGGACUGAGACACGGCCCAGACUCC